UGCAUAUCUAAAAUAAUUUUGCUGGGAAAAAUCGAGUGGCUGACGGAGAAAUAGGAAAGUCAACCGAGAGUCAGUAGAGUCUCUCAGUUCAAUCAACCUCAAAACAUUUUUGAGCUCCUUCUAAUGGUUGUUGUUGGUUCAUGAAAAUCCAAACGAAAACGAAGACAAUACGCUGUCGUUUACUAGCUAAACCAUGACUUUCAGCUCCGACUCUCGUACCCAAAUGGAGUGGAAAUUCUCUCAGGUUUUCGGCGAGCGACCUCCUGGAGAAGACGUCCACGAUGUUGAUAUUAUAUCUGCAAUUGGAUUCGACAAAAGUGGUGAUUAUCUGGCCGUUGGAGAUCGAGGUGGUCGCGUUGUAAUAUUCGAAAGAAAGGAUGGGAAACUUUUAAAUCAGAAACGUUCCCAUAGAGAGUUGGAGCUAAUGGAUUUCACUUCAGCAUGGCAUCCUGAUUUCCAGUACAAGACAGAAUUUCAGAGUCAUAAGCCCGAGUUUGACUACUUGAAGAGUUUGGAAAUCGAAGAGAAGAUCAACAAAUUAAGAUGGUCUGCUACGCCCAAUGGGUCGCAAUUCAUCCUUUCAACAAAUGACAAGACGAUUAAGCUCUGGAAGGUGAAGGAACAUAAAGUGAAGAAAGUCAAGGAAAUGGAUCCUUAUCCAUAUGUGAAUUCGGAGAAUGCACUUUUGGCCGAGAGGAGUUUCAUUACUGAAAAAGUUACGUCAUCUGCUGUUAAUGGCAAUCAUCCAGAAUGGACCGAAAAGAUGGCCUUGAGCAUGUCACUGUCACAAGACAUACAUUCCGAGAUUACUGAUAUUGAAGACACUGCUCAAACAAGAUGCCGGAAAGUGUAUGCUCAUGCACAUGACUUUAAUAUUAACUCCGUCUCUACCAACAGUGAUGGUGAGACAUUUAUUUCUGCGGAUGACCUUAGAAUAAACUUGUGGAACCUUGAGAUUAGUGAUCAGUGUUUCAAUAUCAUCGACAUGAAGCCAUCAAACAUGGAGGAUCUAACUGAGGUCAUAACAUCGGCUGAGUUCCAUCCAAAUCACUGUAAUCUGCUUGCAUACAGCAGCUCAAGAGGGUUUAUUCGUCUAGUUGACAUGCGACAGUCAGCAUUAUGUGAUCACAGUGCAAUAAUAUUACAAGAUGGAGAUUCUCAUGAGUUGAAAUCAUUUUUCACGGAGAUCAUUACAUCCAUCUCUGAUAUAAAAUUUUCGAAGGAUGGGCGGUACAUGUUAAGUCGUGAUUACAUGAGUCUAAAGCUGUGGGACGUUAAUAUGGAUUCUUCCCCAGUUGCAACGUACAAGGUUCAUGAGCAUCUGCGCCCUAAGUUAUGUGAGUUGUAUGAUAAUGACUGCUUAUUUGAUAAAUUUGCUUGUGGCCUCAGUGGAGAUGGACUUCUGUUUGCCACUGGAUCUUAUAGCAAUCGUUUGUGCAUUUUCUCCCGUGGAAUUCAAAGUGAAGGAAUCACAAUAGAAGCUAGCAGAAAUCCUGAGAGGUGGCUUUUUCUCUCUUUUAUUUUUCUUGUUUAUAGUUUUCCUAAUUGCAUUUGUUGAAUUGGCAGAACCUGGAUGUAAAAUCAGAGACGAAAAUUUUCUGCUGGGAUGAUGGCAUUUGGCCAAUAGUUUAAAUCCCAUACAGGACUGGCCAGAUAAACUGCCUGAACCAGGACCUGGUCACAUCCAGGCUGGUUGGAACCAGAGUUGUUCUUGGUCAAAUCUCAGUGUGAACUAUUUUUUGCCUGUUGGUUGAGCUGCUCAGACUGGUUAAAUGUUCCGAGUUCGAUCUCAGAGCUUACUUAUAUUGCUCAACUUUUUUUUAAUGGCAAAAUGCAUUGGGAAGGAGGCCACUUCCCCAAGGUGCGUCCAGGACAAGAAGGUCUUCCUUGAGCAAUCUGACACGAUUUUACCGACAAGGGCAUGAAAAUUCAAGCUCAGAUCGUAAUGACUUGAGCUGUAAUUUAUACUCUAAGCUGCUACAUC